rnacentral:lncRNA from 10 species
CAGGGGUCUGGAAGCUUCACUGGGGAAGUGUCUAUUGAACUGAGAGCGGUUAUUGAGCAUUCGCUGUGUACCAAGUGCUGUCCUUGACAAGAAGACUUACACCCAGUGGUCCCAGAGGGAGACUUCGGAAGUGGGAGCACCUGUCAGAUCAUCAUAAGUAGUUUUGACAAAGGUGCCCAGAACACACCAUGGGGAGAGGACAGUGUCUUCAAUAAAAAGUGUUGGGAAAACUGGAUAACCAUAUGUAGAAGAAUGAAACUGGACCUUUAUCUCACAUCAUAUACAAAAAUAUUAACUCAAAAUAGAUUAAAUACUUAAAUGUAAAACCUGGAACUGUGAUACUACUGAAAUAUAGGAGAAAAGCUUCAGGACAUUGGUAUGGACAAUGAUUUAUCAUAUAGGACCCCAAAAGCACAGACAAUAAAACAAAAAUAGAGAAAUGAAAUUGCAGCAAACUAAAAAGCUUCUGCACAGCAAAAAACAAACAAAAAAAAACAACAAAAACACAGUGAAAAGAUAACCCACAAUUGGGAGAAAAUAUUUGCAAACCAUACAUCUGAUAAGGGGUAAUAUCCAAAAUAUGUAAGAAACUCAAAUAGCUCAAUAGCAAGAAAACAAAUAAUGCAUUUUAAAAAGUGGGCAAAGGACCUGAACAGGCGUUUAUCAAAAGAAGACAUACAAAUGACCCGCAAGUUCCUGAAAAAACAUUCAACAUCCCUGAUCAUCAGG